rnacentral:rRNA from 1 species
AUUGAACGCUGGCGGCAUGCCUUACACAUGCAGGUCGAACGGUAACAGGUCUUCGGAUGCUGACGAGUGGCGAACGGGUGAGUAAUACAUCGGAACGUGCCUAGUAGUGGGGGAUAACUACUCGAAAGAGUGGCUAAUACCGCAUGAGAUCUACGGAUGAAAGCAGGGGAUCGCAAGACCUUGUGCUACUAGAGCGGCCGAUGGCAGAUUAGGUAGUUGGUGGGAUAAAAGCUUACCAAGCCGACGAUCUGUAGCUGGUCUGAGAGGACGAUCAGCCACACUGGGACUGAGACACGGCCCAGACUCCUACGGGAGGCAGCAGUGGGGAAUUUUGGACGAUGGGCGCAAGCCUGAUCCGGCAAUGCCGCGUGCAGGAUGAAGGCCUUCGGGUUGUAAACUGCUUUUGUACGGAACGAAAAGCCCCGGGUUAAUACCCUGGGGUCAUGACGGUACCGUAAGAAUAAGCACCGGCUAACUACGUGCCAGCCGCCGCAGUAA